rnacentral:lncRNA from 1 species
UGGAAGUGAAUAUUCCAGAUUCUUCCUUCGCAGAAGAUCUGAAGUGUUAAUCUUAUCACAGGAAGGAUGCAGAGAACUUGAAGGAACUUCAUAGCCUGAUUAUUUGGCUCAGGAGAAGCAACACUUCAGCCAAAAUUUUAUAUUCCAUCGCUACUCUUCAUGGAGCAUGAGUUUCCAAAGUCAAACUGCAUGAGAUCCAGCAGAGAUUAAUUAACUACCCACCAGGCGAAGCAGCCUACAGCACCCUGUGACCCGCCCCCAGCACAAGCUUCACCCUGGGACAGAGCCACCAGCCAUUCAUCCCGCAGAAGACCAGGCACAGCAAAGCUGCAGCCACAGCUCACAGCUAUCCCAGGAUGGGAUCCUCUGAGAGUGCAGGCAGAACUGUGUUUGUCAAGGGGUUUGAAGGUGAGGUUCCAGAAACCAUCUGUGAAAAUUAGAUACCUACGUGGAUCUGGAUACAAAUGCUACUGCUGGUGAGAACAGAGCUAUGGCAUGCCUAUUUCACAGUCUCUGACUUAGCCCAAGUUCUAAGAGUUGACUCUAACAGUCUUGAAAACUACCUCAGGAUAUAUUUUUUCCCUUGAAACAAUGCUGUAAAUGGUGGCCAGAAUCUCAAAUACAUAUCCAAUUGUCCAUAGCAUUGAGGAGGCAUC